rnacentral:rRNA from 1 species
UCAUAUGGAUUGUGUCAGCAGCCGCGCGGUAAUACGGGAGUGGCAAGCGUUAUCCGGAAUUAUUGGGCGUAAAGCGUCCGCAGGCGGCCUUUCAAGUCUGCUGUUAAAGCGUGGAGCUUAACUCCAUCAUGGCAGUGGAAACUGUUGGGCUUGAGUGUGGUAGGGGCAGAGGGAAUUCCCGGUGUAGCGGUGAAAUGCGUAGAUAUCGGGAAGAACACCAGUGGCGAAGGCGCUCUGCUGGGCCAUAACUGACGCUCAUGGACGAAAGCCAGGGGAGCGAAAGGGAUUAGAUACCCCUGUAGUCCUGGCCGUAAACGAUGAACACUAGGUGUCGGGGGAAUCGACCCCCUCGGUGUCGUAGCCAACGCGUUAAGUGUUCCGCCUGGGGAGUACGCACGCAAGUGUGAAACUCAAAGGAAUUGACGGGGGCCCGCACAAGCGGUGGAGUAUGUGGUUUAAUUCGAUGCAACGCGAAGAACCUUACCAGGGUUUGACAUCCUGCGAAUCUCUUGGAAACGAGAGAGUGCCUUCGGGAGCGCAGUGACAGGUGGUGCAUGGCUGUCGUCAGCUCGUGUCGUGAGAUGUUGGGUUAAGUCCCGCAACGAGCGCAACCCACGUCUUUAGUUGCCAGCAUUUAGUUGGGCACUCUAGAGAGACCGCCGGUGAUAAACCGGAGGAAGGUGUGGAUGACGUCAAGUCAUCAUGCCCCUUACAUCCUGGGCUACACACGUACUACAAUGCUACGGACAAAGAGCAGCAAGUUCGCGAGGACAAGCAAAUCUCAUAAACCGUGGCUCAGUUCAGAUCGUAGGCUGCAACUCGCCUACGUGAAGGAGGAAUCGCUAGUAAUCGCAGGUCAGCAUACUGCGGUGAAUACGUUCCCGGGCCUUGUACACACCGCCCGUCA